AUGUCUAAUAUUGCUGCCAAUCAUCUUCUCUAUCUCAGAAAGCAAUCCUAUGCAGUUGUAGCAAAAAGUUUAAGGAUGCAACUGGCAAAUACUAAUGUGGAGGUGGUGAAGGCAAAUGUGGGGAAUGAAUCAAGUUCAGUGGGCAAUAAAGAUGGAACAAUCUUUUGGAUGAAAGAUCCUAAGACUGGAAACUGGAUUCCAGAGAAUCACUUUGGGGAAGUUGAUGCUGCAGACCUCAGAAAUAAGUUUCUUCCAAAAAGAUCAAGAAACCAGUGA